GGCGGAUUUCCCAAGCGGUCAAAGGGAACUGACUGUAAAUCAGUCGCUUCGGCUUCAGUGGUUCGAAUCCACUAUCCGCCA
rnacentral:tRNA from 3 species